GUUUGAUCCUGGCUCAGAGCGAACGCUGGCGGCAGGCCUAAAACAUGCAAGUCGAGCGCCCCGCAAGGGGAGCGGCAGACGGGUGAGUAACACGUGGGAACGUGCCUUUUGGUUCGGAACAACCCAGGGAAACUUGGGCUAAUACCGGAUAAGCCCUUACGGGGAAAGAUUUAUCGCCGAAAGAUUGGCCCGCGUCUGAUUAGCUAGUUGGUGAGGUAACGACUCACCAAGGCGACGAUCAGUAGCUGGUCUGAGAGGAUGAUCAGCCACAUUGGGACUGAGACACGGCCCAAACUCCUACGGGAGGCAGCAGUGGGGAAUAUUGGACAAUGGGCGCAAGCCUGAUCCAGCCAUGCCGCGUGAGUGAUGAAGGCCCUAGGGUUGUAAAGCUCUUUUGUGCGGGAAGAUAAUGACGGUACCGCAAGAAUAAGCCCCGGCUAACUACGUGCCAGCAGCCGCGUAG
rnacentral:rRNA from 1 species